AAGUCGUAACAAGGUUUCCGUAGGUGAACCUGCGGAAGGAUCAUUAAUGUAAUUGUCGAGGGUUGGCUCUGUCAACCCAUCAUCGACGUUACCCUUGUUUUGUGCACUCAUGUUUCCUUGACAGGCUCGCCUGUCAAUAGGACCAUUUUAAAAACCACUUGUAGUAGUAGUUUGCGUCAGUAGAACUAAAUAUUUACAACUUUCAACAACGGAUCUCUUGGUUCUG
rnacentral:misc_RNA from 1 species